rnacentral:lncRNA from 1 species
ACAAUGUACACUGCAAGGAAGGAUGCUUGUGGUUCAGCACUGCAUCUCCAGAAAGACAGCAGGGCUAGAGAAGGACUGGGAUGCCUAGUUGAGCUGAUGAAACAUAUGACAACAUUCAAAAAAUGAUUAGGGUUCCUCAAAGUGAGAAGACACAUGUUGAGAGAACGUGCAUGUAUAAAAAUCGAGCGGCUCCAGUGUGUGGGCAAUA